GCCGGCGUGGUGGAAUGGUAGACACGACAGAUUCAAAAUCUGUUGCACGCAAGUGUGUAAGGGUUCAAGUCCCUUGGCCGGUACAA
rnacentral:tRNA from 1 species